AACGAACGCUGGCGGCAUGCCUAACACAUGCAAGUCGAACGAGACCUUCGGGUCUAGUGGCGCACGGGUGCGUAACGCGUGGGAACCUGCCCUUAGGUUCGGAAUAACUCCCCGAAAGGUGUGCUAAUACCGGUUAAUGUCUUCGGACCAAAGAUUUAUCGCCUUUGGAUGGGCCCUCGUUGGAUUAGCUAGUUGGUAGGGUAAAAGCAUACCAACGCGACGAUCCAUAGCUGGUCUGUUAGGAUGAUCAGCCACAAUGGGACUGAGACACGGCCCAGACUGCGACGGGAGGCAGCAGUGGGGAAUAUUGGGCAAUGAGCGAAAGCCUGAUCAAGCAAUGCCGCGUGAGUGAUGAAGGGCUUAGGGUUGUAAAGCUCUUUUACACGGGAUGAUAAUGACAGUAACGGGAAAAUAAGCUCCGGCUAACUCCGUG
rnacentral:rRNA from 1 species